rnacentral:lncRNA from 1 species
CACUGGGGCCUUGGAGAAAUUGAAAAGGACCUGGGCUGUGUGGCUCUGGCCGAGCCCUUGACCCUCUCUGGGCCUUCACACACUGAUCAGUGAAACUACAGGAGGAGGCAAUUGCUCUGUGGACCCGGGGUGCCUGGAGAGAGCACUGAACUAGUAGGGAAAGGAGGGCAGUCCCUCCUGGCCCUUUGGUGCUCUGGUUAUCACCAAUAACUAGUUAGUAGUUAUCAUUACUAACUAGCAAUAGGCCAUGGUCAGGUCAUUUAACCUCUCUGACUCUCAGCAUCUUUAUCUGUGACAUUGAGACUGUAUCACUUCACAGCGUCGCCAGAACCAUUAUUUGAGAUGAUGCCUGCUUGUGUCAAGUGUCUGAAAUUAUUGUUCUUCUUGACUCCCUUUCUCCGAGUUUGGGUAAAGGGGGGCUAACAGCCCCAUCUCCUUUCUGGAAGUGGUAGUGGUUUCAGGAGGUGUCAGCUGUGGAAGGACCAUGACCAAGGGACAGUCAGGAUGGAGCCCCGGCUGGCAGACUUUCUCAGUGGCCCAGUGAGGCCUGUCUCACUGCGUCACCCUGACUUGGUGAAGCAGAACCCUGGCAAGAGCAGGGCUGGAGUGGCCGGGGUGUGUCUGGGGUGGGGGUGGGGGUAAGUGCAGUCACCAAGGGGGCCGGCAGCUUUGCGGAUCCUGGGCCCUCACUCACAAUUGGAGGAAGGAGUUCAGGAAGUGUUCUCAGCCACACUCAGACCUCACAGAGCCUCGUCCCAGGCAGGACCGAGGCUGCAGCACCCAGGGAUGAGCGUGAUGUGGCCUGGCCCCGGGGGUGGCUGCCAGGUCAGGAGGCCAUGGCACUGUGUUCAGCCAACAGGGAGCCCAGGCCCCUCCGAGUCCAGGGAGUCUUGAGCUCACACUUUAAAGGACAUCGCUUCUUCCAGAGCUGCCAGUGGAGUUGCCCAUGGCUCUCAGAAGCCUGGCCUGAGGCUCAGGAAACAGUGACAGAGACCCAGUGAGAUUGGAGUAGGGCCAUGCGGGGCACCCAACAGCCCAGACAAGGCAGCAGUCAGGGCCUCAGACCAGCACCUUCUUAGAAGAUCACAGGGAGAGUGGCCUGAGGAGCGAGGGUACCUGCCAUCACCGAGAGCCCCGGCUUCAGACAGGGAGCUGAGGCUCCAAGACUCGUCCCAGGUUGCUCAGUGG